AGACAGUAUGAGCGUGCACCCCUCCCCCACGCUCUGUAGUUUAGCGCCCUCCCCUCUUCAUAAUGCUCAUUUAACCAGGGGUCUGGUGGGCCUGAUGCUGAGCUGGCACGUGAAGAAUGUGUGGGGACCUACAGUCAGUGCUGGAGGACCAAACUGACCACCAUGACAUUUCAUGAUGGAUGUACCUGGCAGAGACAGGCUUUGAAGUGCUUCCGUCAGAAUGGGCUGUGCUUUAGUCACAGGUCCCUGGGACUGAACUCGGGGUGUCAGGCUUGGCAGCAGGCUCCCUAACCUCUGAACCAUGUCAUCAGCCUUAAGACGUUUUUAUGCCU
rnacentral:lncRNA from 1 species